GCAAUCUCAAAGAAGAAGACAAGCGCCCUGAUUUUGAUGGCCCUCAUAGUCAUGGCCACUGUCCUCUCCUCAUGCAACGCAAACAAUGAGGUUAUGUUACAUCCAUCCCUUUUCUCACCCCAUGAAGACAACUUCAUGCGCAUUCUAUAAUAGUGAACUCCCCAUAAAAUUUAUAUAUAUCUAGUAUUGGGGAAACAUAAGAUGGUGAAUAACCUUCCACAAAAUUGGCCUCACAAUGUGUGUUUUUGUGUUUGCGGAUACAGAUAGAUGCUCUCCCCCUACCCGAUAAAUGCUACAGCACGGGACUCCCUAACUGCACAAAGGAGGCGUGCAAGAAACUUUGCAACAGCCCAGGGGGGUAUUGCAGGCUCGCAUCCGACUGUUGUUGCCCUGUUUCCUAAAUGGGGCUGAAAUGAUACAAAGAUGCCAUGAAUAAUUCAAUGCAUGUAUGGAUUAUAUAUGUUAGUUCUAGCAUAUCGAUAUAAAUCCUUUUUAUCAUCUUCAGAAUUUACAAAUGAAAAAAGCUUGUUGUUUCUUUAGUUCUGCAAUGGCUGGUGUUGAUCACGAAUUAGAGUUAUAACCUACCUAAAUACAACAUGUGAAACAAAAUGAAAACAUGAAAAAAAUCUAAACCAUCUCGGAGAUGAAUUUCAGAAGGAAAAAACACAUGUGAUCGCUAUAAACACCUAAAUAACCCAACAAUUUUCUCACAUGACAUUCCAACCUAUUAAUGAUAGCUUCCUCUUUUAUCAUGACAGUCAACCAUCAAGGUACACCAAAUCUGAAUGCUGCAAGAUGUUAUAUUUUCGUUCACUAAAUGGAUUUACAAAAUGUGGUAAUGUAAAUUAGCAUUCUUAAACAAUCAAAGUUGCAAACCUUUGAAAAUUAAAAAAAUCUUCUACAGGUCAAUUGAUCAAUUGAAGCAAAUCCAAGGGUAGCAGUUUGCAAUAUAUUGCAGACUACUCUGCUCGCCUAUGUUUUGGUGGCCCCAUUUAAAGAUCAUAUACACUACUGUUGAGACUCAGCAUGUGACAGUGACUCUUUAUCGGAAAAAAACAUGUGACAAUGACUAUUUCUGUUUCAAUUAAAUUUUGUGCAAGUGUAAAAAAUAAAAAUAAAACAAUGGAAUUUGUGCUCAGAACAUGCGAUCAAUUUAUGUAUUAUGCCCGGGGUUUUGCCCAAAUCAUGCAGUGACUAUCUUGGGGGAACGAUUGCUUAGACAAAUGGGACGGGUCGGUGUUUGUGUCCUACUUUAAAAAGAGGAAAAAGUUAUGUCGUUCGUUCGGCCUUGGUCCAAUCUUAUCUAUGGGACCCCUUCCUCCCAUCUUUGAUUUUUUCUUCAUCGGUUUCUCCAGAAAACCGCUUCAACUAACCCACCUUUUAUUCUGUUACCAAAUAAGCUUAUAUUCUCUUUGAUAGCCAAUAAGUACUUGCCAAAUAAGUGUUUAUCAAAUAAAAGUCUACUUUUACACAAUCACAUUAACAUAAGCAGCUAAAUCAUGGGCCUACUCAUAUUACGUUAGCGACGUUCCCAGGGAAAAUCUGAAACUCUGUUUCUCGUACGUCCGAUCUCAAACGAGCGCACCACAUCGGAAGUGGGAUGGAACCAAGCUACUUAAACAUGACUUUGCAGAAGACCCCAUAUACCUCACAAUUCUAACCGGCGGCUCCUCAAACUUCUCAGUUUGUAUUCCCCACGAGACAACGAAAACUAUAAUAAACUAAAGAAAACAUAGGGUAGAGAUCCUAAAAUCUAAACAAGUGACAAUGUUCACUACUGUAAAAACAGACCCACCUGGCAUCUAUACAACAGUUCUAUACUUGCAUAAGAGUAAAUCUGAAACACUUGGACGCAGACUAUCUGCUCCCGAGCUCAAAUGCCCUCUUAUGAACAAAUAAAUAAAAAAUAGUAAGAUAAUCAAAAUAUUCUGUUUUUUUGGCAAACUUUGACAAAUGUUCCGUGUGCUUAUGAAAAAUUAUCAUGAAAUGACAUUUGUGGAAGUCAGGGAGAAAAAAGAUGCUCCAAAAAUACUACUCUAAUUUUGAAAGCAUUUUGGAGUGUGGAUUUUGUUUUUCUUUUCUUUUGCCAUGAUUUCCAGGAAUGUCAUAUUGAGAUGAAAUUUGUUAAGCAUUGAGAACAUUUGUCAAAGUUUUCUACAAAGAAAUCAUUUUUUUGUUUUACUGUUCAUCCUGAGCCCAUUUGAGCUCGGGAGCAGAAAGGGACUUUCAGAGACACUUCUAUAACAUGCACGCACACUUGCUUCCCUUUUAGAUGUUGAUGAAUAGUUGUUGCACGCCAGUUAUUAUUUCAUUGGUGGAAGUACAACCUCUUUAUCUUAAUAUAAGAUGUUUUGGCAGUUCAAAUUGAACUACCUUUGUAUCUCUCUUAAUAUAAGGUACAGAGAUAAAAGCAAUGAUCAGUACGUACCCAUCUGCGAACUGAUGGUGCAUAUAACAAGAAAACUAAACAACGAUAACUACAAACUAGGAUACACUCAGUCGUGAAGUCACAAGUUACAACCGUUAACAUUGCUCACUGCAUCCAUCAAGUGUGCUUGUCAGGUAACAUCCUGUCAAGGUUUAACACCACUAAUCUCAACGAGCAAGCAAGUGCAUACUACUACUAUCCAAGAUACACAAAGAAACCCCAAUUACAUCAACUCAAGGCUCAACACUGAUCUAGGACUGCAUGGCGGACGUCAUCCCAUCUGCUUCCCGGCACUAAACAUAGUACGGCUCUGAAACUCCAUCAACAAAAUGGGAAUGAGUUAAGGAACCCAAUAUUGGCAUAGCAAAAUGAAGACUACACUAUGCAAAGUAAAUAACUGGAUCUAACAUAAUUAAUGCAUAUAAUAUAUAAUACUCCCUUCGUAAACUAACAUAAGAGCGUUUUGAUCACUACUUUAGUAAUCUAAACACUCUUAUAUUAGUUUACAAAGGGAGUAGUAAUUUUAUACAAUUGAUAGAUAACGGGAAUCAAAUUACAGAAGCUUGAAGGAGAUACGCAAGCUGGAGAAGUUCUCUGCUUUUGAGCUCAAAGUGAAGAAGCUGGUUGCACCGUUCAUCAUGGAGCAGAAGCACUAUUUCAAAAACUAGAACUGUUCCAUGGAUAAUUACUAGCAGUACUAUUUCAAAAUCAACCAUAUUCUUAAAAUUUCAUACCUAAUAGUAUUGUAGUGCGGUUACGUUGUUAUCCUUUUUUCCGCUGGUUGCUACCGAUGUUGAAAAAGAGUGGAGUUCAUGUUAUCUCAUAUAACCUAUCAAACCAUAAUGGAUAAGUAGCUACUCCAUUUGAUACACUCCUAGCAUUGGGUAUGUCAUAGCAGUUUUUGUACUGUUCAUGAAACAAUAUUGUCAACUUUUUUUUUGUCGAAGCUUACCGUGAAAGAAUGAACUGCAAAAAAUGUUUUUAGUCAUAGUACUUCCUGUGUUAUGGAAGUGUCAAUCGCCUCAUGUCUUCAUGGUGACAACUACAAUGGAAGCUAUAAAGAUAUUUUGAGUUACUUUUGUUUUCAAGCAUCAACUAGGUACCACAUGCAGGGGUCUUCAUGGUUAUAGCUAUAAAGAUAUUUGCUUCUUGCACGACCAAUAUAACUCCAGAAUCCAUUGUAACUUGUCAUUUUCAGCACCUUAUAAGGUAAUCUUAAGUUGUCAUCAUGAAGACACCACUAUUUUUAUUCACUUACAGUUUUUUUACUUGAGUUUUGUCAUCUCACAGGAAUGAUAGAAAUAGAGGGUUCAUGAUCAAAAAAGAAGGUAGGAUCAAAGGGUAGAUGAAGUAGAGGCAUAAAACUGCCAUUUAUCAUUGUUUUCGUUCAGUAGGAUUGCUUUUGAGGUAAUAUAUGAGACUACCAAGUGGUGUCUCAAAUGAAUUUGCAUAUAGUUAUACUUAGAUCUUAUCUGCAAAAUCUACUCAGGAAUAAGUGAAUGAGAUUAGAAGGGAUCAAGUACUUUUGUACAGACUUGUUCAUUUGAAGUACAUUUCACUAUAGCUAUUAUGCACUUCUGUUUACUUUUCUUGUACAGGUACAUCUUAAGGUGAGUACCUUCUAGACAAACCAAAACGAAUGAAGCCGUUCACAUCUUUUGAUGUUAAAAUUCAUACUUUUGAAGAUAUCGUAGUAACUUGCGUCUGAGCUGUGCAUGGUAUGUCUGAAGAAAAAGUUCCGCUAGCACAUAUUUUAUGGUAUUGGAGAAAAGGAAAAUUCACUUAUAGAGUGUUUUCCAGUUUUACAUAAUUCACGAGUUGUUCACAUGAAAUCUGAAUAUUAUUUUUCUUUUGUUUGACAGCGAGUGCUACUGAACAUGCCAAGGAGGGUCAUGUACUGAUUCAACUUCUUUGGCUAGGAGAAGAAUAGUGUAUUCAUUAUCUAUACAUAGACGAUGGGCGGUAGGUAUGUCUACAUCGACAUUAUAUGUUAUACCAUCCCAGUCUAAGAGAAUAGCAAUAUAGGCACUACUUUUAAUGUGGCUUUACAGACCUAUAAUUUAAACUCUCAAGCAAAUUGUCUUCGCAAUUUGGGUUAUACAAGAUUGUUGUCAGACCAUUAUAAUAUGUAAGUUCCCGUUGCAAAGCAUAGGCAAUUAACUAGUAGAGAUGAAAAGGGAUAUCUCAAAACCUUUGUGCGUGGAAUUACUCUCCAUUUAAAGGCGGGGGAAGGGGGAAGAGGGGAGUGGGGAUGAGGAAGACAUAAAGGAUAUUAAUUGGGAAAAUGAAGAGGAGGUAGACAGGGAGAAUGUUGAUAAUAAUAUUUAAAAAAAGAUGGUGCUAUUUCCAGUACGAGCACUUGCCCAAUUUCUGCUACAUGUGCGGCCUGAUUGGGCAUGUUGACUGUAGUUGUAGCAUAAAACUCAAGAAGGGACAUAAACAAGUCUUUGGAAGAAAUAUGUAUGCUCUAGGACCCUUGAAGGGUACUGGUGAAGAGUUCAUGGAAAGAGGGGGAGAAGGAAGGAACUCCAGGAAUGGACAAUGGCGUUUCAGCAACUCAGGCAGCAGGCCAGUGAGUGAGUCAGGCUCGUGGAGAAAAUCUGAUGGUAGAGCAGGAGCGACAGAUGGUUCUUUCCAAAGAUCUCUUCUGUCCCUAGGUGGAAGCCUCCUAAUGGUGAUAGUAUUAAGAUCAAUAUUGAUGGUUCUUUUCAUGUUGAUAACAAUUGUGGUGGAUGAGGUGAUGUUUUGCAUUCCAAAAAGAAAAGGUUUACAUUCAAAAUGCAAUGAAAAGGAAGGACAUAAACAUCACUAACCACAUCUCUUGUAGACUACCGCUGGAAUCUGUGUCACAUACCUUGCUUCUGCAAAUCCUAAGCGCUGUUCAUGAACACCGGCUUCAUUGCCCACGCAGUCAGUUGUGACACCUUGAUGUCUGCCUUGACGUUGUUCAAGACGUGAAGGCGCGCCUCAUCACGGCGGGCAAGCAUCCGGUAGACACGAGAGAGGAUGCAGGUCCUCCCUCCUGCCCCAAAGCUCUCAACGACUGACCCGUCAAUCUGCGAAGGAAAUGGAGAGGAAAAGUAAGAGAAAACACUUUCUAAACUUGUAUAGCAUGAGGACCUGUUGAAUGGUAGCAUAUCAAGCUUCUAAGGGAUAUCUUGCCCUUUGUGAUGUCAGUAUCAACAAAACCUGCGAAGGUCGGCUUGUACAGGUUCUGGCUCAGAGAUGACCUGAACCAGACAAAGAAGCCCAAUGUCAAAUCAGCGCUAGCAAAUUUGUGUAUGUUACAUGCAUGAGAUGAUGAAUUUAAGGGAUGAAUGAGAAUCAGGAGAUGACAUUAGAAGGUGGGGUCGGAGCACAUCAGGACCACCAGCUUCGUGCUGUUGAUGUUAUGUGCGGCCUUGAAGUGAACACCCGGAAGAAGACCACUGUUCUAUCCUCCAUCUUGGAGGAGGCGAGCACCCACAGGCCAAAGGGUCCCACACCACCUUCCACAUCCGCGCCCCUCACGCCGCACAACUUCUGGGCGUCGUUGGCUAGCGCUGGGUCCAGUGCCUCCACUCCCUCCAGGCACGGUGAUACGUCUCCAACGUAUCUAUAAUUUAUGAAGCAUUCAUGCUAUUUUAUUAUCUGUUUUGAAUGAUUAUGGGCUUUAUUAUACACUUUUAUAUUACUUUUGGGACUAACCUAUUAACCGGAGGCCCAGCCCAUAUUGUUGUUUUAUUGCCUAUUUCAGUAUUUCGAAGAAAAGGAAUAUCAAACGGAGUCCAAACAGAAUGAAACUUUCGGCAACGUCAUUUUUUGGAAGAUUAUCAUCCUGGAGACUUGGAGUCCACGUCAGAAGAUACUCUAGGAGCCCAGGAGAUAGGGGGCGCCCCCGCCCCCCUACUGGGCGCGCCCCCUGCCUCGUGGACCCCUCGAGCACCCCCCCGACCUACUUCUUUCGCCUAUAUAAGCCUACGUACCCUAAAACCAUUGAAUAUCAAGAUAGAUCGGGAGUUCCGUCGCCGCAAGCCUCUGUAGCCACCAAAAACCUCUCGGGAGCCCUUCCUGGCACCCUACAGGAGGGAGGAUCCUUCACCUGUGGCCAUCUUCAUCAUCCCGGCGCUAUCCAUGACGAGGAGGGAGUAGUUCACCCUCGAGGCUGAGGGUAUGUACCAGUAGCUAUGUGUUUGAUCUCUCUCUCUCAUGUUCUCUCUCGUGUUCCCUCUAUGGCACGAUCUUGAUGUAUCCCGAGCUUUGAUAUUGUAGAUGGAUCUUAUGAUGUUUCUCCCCCUCUACUCUCUUGGAUGAAUUGAGUUGAAGUUAUCUUAUCGGAUUGAGUCUUUUAUGAGAACACUUGAUGUAUGUCUUGUCGUGCUUAUCUGUGGUGACAAUGGGAUAUCAUGUGCCACUUGAUGUAUGUUUUGGUGACCAACUUGCGGGUUCCUCCCACGAACCUAUGCAUAAGGGUUGGCACACGUUCUUGACUCUUCGGUAGAAACUUUGGGGCACUCUUUGAAGUACUUUGUGUUGGUUGAAUAGAUGAAUCUGAGAUUGUGUGAUGCAUAUCAUAUAAUCAUGCCCACGAAUACUUGAGGUGACAAUGGAGUAUCUAGGUGACAUUAGGGUUUUUGUUGAUUUGUGUCUUAAGGUGUUAUUCUAGUACGAACACUUGAAUAGAUUGAUAUGAAAGAAUAACUUUGAGGUGGUUUAGUACCCUACCAUAAUCUCUUCGUUUGUUCUCUGCUAUUAGUGUCUUUGGUGUGACUCUUUGUUGCAUGUUGAGGGAUUGUUAUAUGAUCUAUCUAUGUUAUUAUUGUUGAGAGAACUUGCACUAGUGAAAGUAUGAACCCUAGGCCUUGUUUCCUAUCAUUGCAAUACCGUUUACGCUCACUUUUAUCGCUUACUACCUUGCUGUUUUUAUAAUUUCAGAUUACAAAUAUCUUUAUCUACCAUCCAUAUUGCACUUGUAUCACCAUCUCUUCGCCGAACUAGUGCACCUAUACAAUUUACCAUUGUAUUUGGUGUGUUGGGGACACAAGAGACUCUUUGUUAUUUGGUUGCAGGGUUGCUUGAGAGAGACCAUCUUCAUCCUACGCCUCCCACGGAUUGAUAAACCUUAGGUCAUCCACUUGAGGGAAAUUUGCUACUGUCCUACAAACCUGUGCACUUGCAGGCCCAACAACGUCUACAAGAAGAAGGUUGUGUAGUAGACAUCAAGCUCUUUUCUGGCGCUGUUGCCAAGGAGGUGAGUGCUUGAAGUAUAUCUUUAGAUCUCGCAAUCGAAUCUUUUUGUUUCUUGUUUUAUCACUAGUUUAGUUUAUAAAAGAAAACUACAAAAAAAUGGAGUUGAGUUUGUCUCAUACGCUUCAUCUUUUUAAUAUCUUUCGUGAGAAUGUUGGUAAGGAAAAUUGUGCUCAAGUGCUAGAAGAAGAAAUCUAUAAAAUGCUUGACACUAAAUCUUUAAAUGAUGAGCGUGAUUGCAAUGUUGUUAGUAUGAAUUCCUUGAAUAUCCCUGAUGCUAAUGAUAUGCAAAGCCACAAUCUUGGGGGAGCUACGUUUAAUGAAGAUGAUAUUUUUAGCAUCCCAAGUUUUGAUAUGCAAAGUUGUUAUGAUGAUAGCAUGCCUUGUACCUAUGAUGAUUACAUUGAUGAAAGUGGGUUUGGAAGAGUGUCAGCUUUACGAAGUAGUGAUCCCACUAUUUUGGAGGAUGUUGAAUCUUAUAAUAUUUAUGAAAGUGAAUUUGGAAGAGUGUCAACUUUAUUUAGUGAUGAUUCCACUAUUUUUGAAGAGGUUCCAAUUGAUUAUGAGAACAAAGUUGCUAUCUAUGAUGAUUAUUGUGAUGACUUGUAUGCUUUUAAGAAUAAUGAUAUCCAUGAAACUUGUCAUCAUGAUUUUAGUUUUCAAUUGGAUUAUGCCUCACAUGAUAGUUAUUUUGUUGAGUUUGCUCCCACUAUUAUUCAUGAGAAGAAAUUUGCUUAUGUGGAGAGUAGUAAAUUUUCUAUGCUAGUAGAUCAUGAAAAGAAUGAUUUAGGUGCUGGUUAUAUUGUUGAAUUCAUUCAUGAUGCUACUGAUAAUUAUUAUGAGGGAGGAAUAUAUGCUUGUAGGAAUUGCAAUAAUGUCAAGUUUCCUCUUUAUGUGUUGAAAAUCUUGAAGCUAUGCUUGUUUUACCUUCCUACGCUAGUUGAUUAUUGUUCCCAUAAGUUGUUUGCUCACAAAAUCCCUAUGCAUAGGAAGUGGGUUAGGCUUAAAUGUGCUAGUCAUAUGCUUCUUGAUGCUCCUGUUAUAUUUCAAUUCCUAUCUUUUAUGUGAGCAUCAUUGCCAUCAUCAUGCCUAGCUAAAAAUGCAUUAAAGAAAAGCGCUUGUUGGGAGACAACCCAAUAUUUAUCCUUACUGUUUUUGUGUGUCCACAUGAUUAUUCUACUGUAUUAAUCAUGUUUUAUAGCUUUUGUUUCAAUAAAGUGCCAAGUAGAGCCUUUGGGAAGACUUGGGUGAAGUCUAUGUGAUCUUGCUGUGAAAAACAGAAACUUUUGCGCUCACGAGAUUAGCUGCCAUUAUUUACUGGAGAGUGAUUUUAGGUUGAUUAUUUUUGCAGAUGAUUAAUAGACAAAUUACUCAGGUCCAGCAAUUUAUUUCAGAAUUGUUUGAGUUCCAUAAGUAUACGUUUGAUACAGAUUACUACAGACUGUUCUGUUUUUGACAGAUUAUGUUUUCAUUGUGUUGUUUGCUUAUUUUGAUGAAUCUAUGAGUAGUAUCGGAGGGUAUGAACCAUAGAGAAGUUACAAUACAGUAGAUAUUACACCAAUAUGAAUUUAUAAUGAGUUCAUUACAGUACCUAAGUGGUGGUUUUAUUUUCUUAUACUAACGGAGCUUACGAGUUUUGUGUUGAGUUUUGUGUGGUUGAAGUUUUCAAGUUUUGAGUAAAGAUUCGAUGGACUAUGGAAUAAGGAGUGGAAAGAGCCUAUGCUUGGGUAUGCCCAAGGCAUCCCAAGGUAAUAUUCAAGGACAACCAAGCAACUAAGCUUGGGGAUGCCCCGGAUGGCAUCCCCUCUUUCGUCUUCGUUCAUCGGUAACUUUACUUGGAGCUAUAUUUUUAUUCGCCACAUGCUAUGUGUUUUGCUUGGAUCAUAAUUUUCUUGUAUUAGUUAUUGAUUGCUGUUAGUUAGAAUAAUGUUUUGCAUCUAUAUUUUCAAUAAAAAAGUCAAGGAUAGCCUUUACCAUGCUUAUUUUGCUAGUAUACAUGUUGCUGUUUGAAAACAGAAAGUUUACCGCUGUUGCAAAAAUUCCCUAAAAAAGUCAGAGAAUGGUAUAAUGUUGAAUCUUUUUGCAUAUUGAGCUCUGAUAAAUUUAUUAUGGUGCUAAUUUUCUCUCAUAAUUUUUGGAGUUAGGUAACUAUUGAUACUCUUGCAUUCUUUACAGACUGUACUGUUUUGGCAGAUUGCUGUUAUGUUUGCAUUGUUUGCGUAUGUUUGCUUGUUUAAUGAUUCUAUUUGAGGAUAGGAGUAUUAAAUAUGCAGAGGCAUUUAGUAUUCAAUAUUGAAUAAUAAUUUUAGUGAUUUGUUAUAGUAGAAAAUGAUAAGGUUUUGCAUUGGUUUAUACUAACCCAUCUCACGAGUUCUUGUUGAGUUUGUUGUGAAUGAAGCUUUUGAUAAAAAGAGAAACCAUGAUAUGAGAGGAAUUAAGGAGACACAAAAGUUCAAGCUUGGGGAUGCCCAAGGCACCCCAAGAUAAUAUUUCAAGAAGUCUCAAGCAUCUAAGCUUGGGGAUGCCCCGGUAGGCAUCCCACCUUUCUUCUUCAACAAUCAUCGGUUAGUAUCGGUUGAGCCUAAGUUUUUGCUUCUUCACAUGAGUUGUUCUAUCCUUGCAAUGUCAUUUUAUUUUGUUUUUCUUGCUGCUUGAAUACAAUACCAAGAUCUGAAAUUCUUAAUUGAGAGAGAGUCUUCACAUAGUUGCAUAAUUAUUUAGCUACUCAUUGAUCUUCACUUAUAUUUUUUGGAGUAGUUUGUCAUUUACUUGUGUGCUUCACUUAUAUCCUAUGAGUAAAUGGUUGAAUGAGUUGAAUGUCAUAAAUCUGAAAUUAUAUAUGUCUCUUUUGCUUAUCCCAUGGGGAGUAAUGACUUCACAUCUAAGAAGUAGAGGUUGUAAAUUUAUUGACGGUUAGCAAGCAUUGUAUUGGUCAUUUGAACAAUUCAUGAAAGAAUAUUGAAGGAAGAGAGAUUUCACAUGUAAAUAUACUAUAUUGGACAUCUUUUAUAAUUGUGAGCACUCAUUAAGUAUGACAUGCUAAAGAGUUGAUGUUGGACAAGGAAGACAACGUAAUGGGUUAUGUUUUCUCACAUCUCAGUUAAAGUAUAUUGUCAUGGAUCAUUCAAACAUGUUGAGCUUGCCUUUCCCCCUCAUGCUAGCCAAAAUUCCUUGCACCAAGUAGAGAUACUACUUGUGCUUCCAAAUAUCCUUAAACCCAGUUUUUGCCAUGAGGGUCCACCAUACCUACCUAUGGAUUGAGUAAGAUCCUUCAAGUAAGUUGUCAUCGAUGCAUGCAAUAAAAAUUGCUCUAUAAAUAUACAUGACUUAUUAGUGUGAAGAAAAUAAGCUUUAUACGAUCUUGUUAUGGAAGCAAUAAAAGCGACGGACUGCAUAAUAAAGGUCCAUAUACAAGGGGCAAUAUAAAGUGACGUUCUUUCGCAUUAAGAUUUUUUGUAUCCAACCCUAAAAACGCAUGACAACCUCUGCUUCCCUCUACGAAGGGCCUAUAUUUUACUUUAUGCAAGAGUCAAGGUGAUCUUCACCUUUCCCUUUUUCAUUUUAUCCUUUGGCAAGCACUUUGUGGUGGGGUGAUCCUGAUAUAUAUAUCCAAUUGGAUGUACGUUAGCAUGAACUAUUAUUGUUGACAUCACCCAAAGGUGAAUACGUUUGGAGGCAACAUUAUAAGCCCCAAUCUUUCUUUGUGUCUGAUUAAAACUUCAUAACCACAAGUAUUGCGUGAGUGUUAGCAAUUGUAGAAGACUAUAUGAUAGUUGAGUAUGUGAAGUUUGCUAAAUCAAAGUUCUGACAUAGACUCUUCCUGAAAGUAAGAUGAAUUGCAAUUGUUUGAUGACUAAGAAUGAAGUUUGCUAGUUUUCAAGAAAGUUUAUGGUCUAUGCUUUAACAUGUGAAUUGCUUGUUACUAGUUCGUGAAAAGUUUUAUGAGAUGAACUACUGUUAUGACAUAUAAUGAUGCUAGUAAAGGUGAUUGAAAUUACCAUUGAUCAAACUUGUGCACCUCUAGCAUUCACACUUCAUAAAUUCUUUCUUUAGCAUUUACCUACUCGAGGACGAGUAGGAAUUAAGCUUGGGGAUGCUGAUAUGUCUCCAACGUAUCUAUAAUUUAUGAAGCAUUCAUGCUAUUUUAUUACCUGUUUUGAAUGAUUAUGGGCUUUAUUAUUCACUUUUAUAUUACUUUUGGGACUAACCUAUUAACUGGAGGCCCAGCCCAUAUUGCUGUUUUAUUGCCUGUUUCAGUAUUUCGAAGAAAAAGAAUAUCAAACGGAGUCCAAACGGAAUGAAACCUUCGGCAACGUGAUUUUUUGGAAGAUUAUCAUCCUGGAGACUUGGAGUCCAUGUCAGAAGAUACUCGAGGAGCCCAGGAGAUAGGGGGCGUGCCGCCCCCCCUACUGGGUGCGCCCCCCUGUCUCGUGGACCCCUCGAGCACCCAUCGACCGACUUCUUUCGCCUAUAUAAGCCUACGUACCCUAAAACCAUUGAAUAUCAAGAUAGAUCGGGAGUUCCGCCGCCGCAAGCCUCUGUAGCCACCAAAAACCUCUCGGGAGCCCUUCCCGGCACCCUGCCGGAGGGGGGAUCCUUCAUUGGUGGCCAUCUUCAUCAUGUCGGCACUAUCCAUGACGAGGAGGGAGUAGUUCACCCUCGAGGUUGAGGGUAUGUACCAGUAGCUAUGUGUUUGAUCUCUCUCUCUCGUGUUCUCUCUCGUGUUCCCUCUAUGGCACGAUCUUGAUGUAUCCUGAGCUUUGCUAUUGUAGUUGGAUCUUAUGAUGUUUCUCCCCCUCUACUCUCUUGUGAUGAAUUGAGUUUUCCCUUUGAAGUUAUCUUAUCGGAUUGAGUCUUUUAUGAGAACACUUGAUGUAUGUAUUGUCGUGCUUAUCUGUGGUGACAAUGGGAUAUUACGUGCCACUUGAUGUAUGUUUUGGUGACCAACUUGCGGGUUCCACCCAUGAACCUAUGCAUAGGGGUUGGCACACGUUCUUGACUCUCCGGUAGAAAAUUUGGGGCACUCUUUGAAGUACUUUGUGUUGGUUGAAUAGAUGAAUCUGAGAUUGUGUGAUGCAUAUCGUAUAAUCAUGCCCACGGAUACUUGAGGUGACAAUGGAGUGUCUAGGUGACAUUAGGGUUUUGGUUGAUUUGUGUCUUAAGGUGUUAUUCUAGUACGAACUCUUGAAUAGAUUGAUCCAAAAGAAUAACUUUGAGGUGGUUUCGUACCCUACCAUAGUCUCUUCGUUUGUUCUCCGCUAUUAGUGUCUUUGGAGUGACUCUUUGUUGCAUGUUGAGGGAUUGUCAUAUGACCUAUCUAUGUUAUUAUUGUUGAGAGAAAUUGCACUAGUGAAAGUAUGAACCCUAGGCCUUGUUUCCUAUCAUUGCAAUAUUGUUUACGCUUACUUUUAUCGCUUGCUACCUUGCUGUUUUUAUAAUUUCAGAUUACGAAAACCUUUAUCUACUAUCUAUUUUGCACUUGUAUUACCAUCUCUUCACCGAACUAGUGCACCUAUACAAUUUACCAUUGUAUUGGGUGUGUUGGGGACACAAGAGACUCUUUGUUAUUUGGUUGCAGGGUUGUUUGAGAGAGACCAUCUUCAUCCUACGCCUCCUACGGAUUGAUAAACCUUAGGUCAUCCACUUGAGGGGAAUUUGCUACUGUCCUACAAACUUGUGCACUUGCAGGCCCAACAACGUCUACAAGAAGAAGGUUGUGUAGUAGACAUCACUCGGUACCUCAAAGUUCACCUCAAUGUCAGCCUGACAAACCAAGUGCAUGCACAAGUUAGUUGGUUAUUAAUUAAUCAUGAACUGAUCACCACACUUACAGAAGUAUUUGUGACUUUGCGUUAAGCAAUCUUUGAAAAUUAGGUUGCAUAAGUACAGUUGGAGUCUUAUUCUGUUUAGUUAAUAAUAAGAAUUACAAAAGGGAACAAUAUGUUGGUCAAAUGUAUCUGGGUUAAGCAAUCUAAUCACAUCAGUUUAGUUGGAACCUUGGAGGUGUGCAUGCAAGGUCAAUAUGUACAGGACGGCAAGUCUUUAUUCUUUUUAGUUAAUUGAUCUUAUUCUUGUUAGUUAAUGGAGCAGAAUGCAUGACUGCAGAGUUGAGAUUAGAGUAGAGGACAGAUGUAGUGAAAUCUGCAGAGUACAAACAGAUGGACUCAGAAAAGAGAUACCUGUGGAGCACGGAGUAGAGUAGAGUAGAGUAGAGUGAAAAGUUAGCAAAUUGGCGGAGCGAGUGAUCGGCGUACACAAUCCCUAGCGAAUCCUCGUCUCACUGCCGUCGGCUGGCUUAGCCACGGUGGACAGAGCCUAAAGCCGUCACCCACAUCGGCUGAUGGGAGCCUCCCUCUAUGCCCAACCUAGACUCUAUAGCUCCUUCCCGCUGGUUUUUACCCCUGUCCUCCUAGCUCCCCUUUGUGAGAUGGGUGGGUUUGUAUCCAUCCAAUUCCCGUGGUGUACUAGUGUGGGAACCUUGUUUUCUUCUGUGCCCUCUGAGGCUCUGACUGUAGUGUCAAGUGGGUGGGUGUGGGGGAGGGGGAGGGGAAUCUGGGUCUGCUGCUGCGCGUGGGAAGAGGUAGGAAGCAGAGGAAGCUGCUCAGGGGUAGAAGGGGAUGGAGUCCAUGAUGGGACGCCUCAACAUCAUGGCUGAUGAGGUGGAUGUGGUAGAUAUGAAUAACGAGGAGACGCUACCGAUGAGGUGGUCACUGGUGUGCAAGGUGCUUUUGCCGUCUGUCAUCCACAUUCAGACAAUCAAGGUUGCAGUGAGGCCGGUAUGGGGUAACCCGAGAGGGCCGCGACUCAGAUCCUUAGGUAACAACCUUUUUGUUGUUGAUUUCGCGAGCUUGGGUGAAAGACUAUGCUCUUGAGGACUCUCCCUAGAUGGUCGGGCAGCACGGGGAUGUGGAUAAUUUUGGAGAUGCCUCUGGUAGCUUCCUUUAGGAGAGGGUCUCAGUUCCAGUUGAUCAACAACUCCGGAGAUGGGUGACAACGACGAAGCAGAGGGCUAUGGAAAAGUUUGAGUUGCAAUACGAGAAACUUCACUUCUACCUUAGUUGUGGGCUAAUUGGGCAUGGAGAUCUGGAGUGUCAUUUUCCUGCGGCUCGGGGCAAACUCCCGUUUGAUAGGAAGCUGAGAGCGCCUAAUGAUCGUAGAAAGAAACUUCAACCUUUCAGCCAGGCUGCUGCAACAUCGUCAUGGAAUAGUGACUACAGAGACCAUAGUGGCCGGAAAUCCAACCCUGGGUCUGCAUCCAUCCAUACCAACCAUGCAGAUGAGGGCUCUGGUUUGAAACCGGGUGAGGAGGAUGUUACCUCCCUAAACUCGAAAACUCAUGGUGGCGCCUGGCUGCUCAAGAGCGUUUAAAAUUGCAAAGAAGCUCUUUGAUGCUGGAGCGAGGAGGAGUUGAAGAUUCAGAAAUAACACAAGCUUAUGCAAGGAGGGCUGGAAGCUCUCGCAGUUGACAACCCUCACUCUGCCCUAGUCCUUACGCCAGUGCUGAAGGGGGAACACAACAACAAUGCUAUCAUGCUGAAUCUUGAUAACAAAGGAGAAAUGGCAAAAAAGCAGAAGAAUGACAAACCUGCAAACAACUCUCAUGUGGUGGUGGCUACCAGGGUUCAGCCCCGCCACCAUCAAUGAAUACUUAUGUUUUAACUGCCGGGACUGUGGGCGGUCCGAGGAAGUUCACGUCUUCACCAUAUGCACAACCUUGUGGAAACUCAUGACCCAGCUUUGGUCUUUCUUUCGGAGACAAAACUGAAUGCUACAAGAGCUCAAGAUUUGAAGUGGAGAAUUGGGAUGCAGAAUGCAAAAGCUGUGAGCAGUGUUGGCCUUAGUGGUGGGUUGGCUCUGCUCUGGAUGAAUGAUGUUCAUGUGCGGGUUCUAAAUCUAUCCACUUCGACAUUGACGACAUGGUGUGUGGUGAAGCCACUAGAGAAAAUGAAUAGAGAUUUACUGGGUUCUAUGGUAACCCAAACCGCCAAUUCAGAGGGGAUAGCUCAUGCUUGCCUCAGUUUUUACACCAGUAACAUGAUGAACCUUGGCUCUAUGCAGGGGAUUUUAGCGAGACACUUUGUGCUUCUGAAAGGUUUGGGGGUGAUGUCACGGAGGAAUGGAAAAUGGAGGGCUUUAGAGAGGCAACUGAUUUCUGCUCUUUCUCUGAUCUCAGUUAUGCGGGGCCGUGGUAUACUUGGGAUAAUCUGCAAUAUGGCAACUCAAUGUCAAAGUCCGCUUGGACAAGGCUCCUGGGUAUGUUAGCUUCCUGGAUGGCUUGAUGGCACUUCGGUUUCCCAUGUUCAAACUAUGGAGUCUGACCAUUGCGUCAUUCUGAUCACGUUAAGAAGAUCAAACUGGCUUGGAGGUGGAUCUUCUGGAAAGCCGUUUACGUACGAGAAUAUGUGGCGCAGGCAUGAACAAUAUGAGGAAACUGUUAACAAGACUUAAUAAGAGGAUCUCAGAGUUGUUAGCCCGGGAAGAAGCUACGUCUCGCCAGCACUCUUGGAUUCAGUGGUUGAAAGAGGGUGACAGGAACAUGGCCUUUUUCCAUGCCAAGGCAAAAUAACAAGCAAGCAACAACAAUAUCAGCUCCUUGAAGCGAGAUGAUGGUUCUUUUCGCACCAGCCAACCAGAAUUAGAGUCAAUGACAGGUCAGUUUUUCAACGGAUUGUUCACUGCUCAAGAAAUAGUUGUCCCUGGUGUUGUGACUACAUUUGGUCCCCGUAAGGUGACUGCUCCCAUGAAUGAGGGCCUCUGUGCCCUCUUCCUCGACAUGGAAAAUGAGAAAACGCUCUUCAUGAUGAAACAUACAUGGGGUCAGAUCCGGCUAGACUUUAGCAAAAAGGUAGAAAACAACAAAAUCAGCCCGCAUAGUAUGGCAUCACAUUUACCGAAGGUUGUAGCCUGCGCGUCGAUCAAGGUGGAAAAUCAAACGGCGGGAAAACUACUUCUUGCACAUGGGCCGAGUAGUACACGACAUCUCAUGUUGUUGCUUGCUCGUGAUGAAUCACGCACGCAAGGCGAUCUGCUACACUGCAGGUUUUCAUAUGAAGCCAGUAAAAUUAAUUGGAAGAACCUCCUCAUGUGAAGACCAAGCCACCCCUGGAGUAGUAGUACAAUUGUAGUAGCAAUUAAUUGAUUUGCAUGGGUUGCAAGAUUUUAUCGUUUGAUCAAUCAUUUGCUACUUUGACUUGACGCCGAGACCGCCGUGAUGUUAGACGGCCCCUGUCACGGAUUCAAAGGAAGUGGUGCAGACGUGCAGGAUGGUGACUCAAACACUUGACGAUACCCUAUUUAUUCCUGGAAAUUCCAUGGCACCAACUCUCCCCGUGACCGCUUCUUGAGAUUGGUGACUUUUUUCUUAAAUGGCAUCAAACAACAUGUUUUCUUAUUGUUUUGGAACAUACUAAUUUGGCGGAUAUUAUCUAUCACGGUUUGGAAAAUAGAAAAUUAUGAUAGUACUUUCUAUGAAGAACGUUGAUCACUGUAUUGACUAAAUAAAUCGGAAAUACCAAACUUAAAUGCUACUAUUAAGGAAAAGGAAAUAUAUUAUGGAUAAAAAAUGACUUGCGAAUUAUUUGGGGCCAUUCUAUUUUUUUACUGUUCAAUAUAAGAGUGAAUAUAUUGCAUGGAAAAUAAUGUGCAAUCGGAAAAACUUUUUUUGGUGUGGAACAUCUCUCGGAAAUUAUAGAUAGUUGGUUUCUUAGUGCCAGUCAUAGUUGUCCUAAACUAUAUGCCAAAAUGAUUGGAAUAAUUUUAUAUACACUUGUCAUCAUGAGUGGUUAUUCAAUCAGUCCAAUAUGGGUUCCUUUUUGCUAUGUGGAGGGAGACAAAAAAUUCUUUGAGGGAAUGAUCUGACUAAUUAUGGUUGACUGCACCUUGAAGAGGAAUAUAUAAUUUAUGCUAAUAGAAUUGGCUAAGAGGAAGUGUCUAUUAUGGAGCGGCACUUAUUUAUGGAUGAAGAUGGUUACCACUCCAUGGAAAAGGAAAUUUGAUGAAACUUAAUGGUAUGCCUAUUGCCAAUGUUUGUAUAUAUGUUUAACUGCCACCACUUUUUUCUUCAAAUAGUUGGAUUAUGAUGUUAAUUCAUAUACAUCAUUUAUUGUUGGAAUACCAUAGCAAAUUUAUUUUCAUGCAACAAUUUCAAAGGAAAAUUGAUCUACUUUGGAUUGGAAAUUAUGCCAUGAAACUCCCUUGCAGAGGAAAACUAUUAUUGUUAUAGGACACUAUGUGCAACAUCAAUGAGAAGGGAUUUGAUUUAUUUUUCUAUUUUGGAAUCUAUUGACUAUGUUAUACUAUUUGGAAAAGGAAAAGUGGAAAUAUUGUUUAGUACAAAUUAGUGCAUCAUUGAACUUUACACAAUUUUCUCUUCUUUUUUGAUGGUCCAUUGGAGGUUGGCAACCCAAAUUUUAUUUGAUGAAGAUAGCUCAAUAGAUAGGAAUAUUAAUAAUGGAAACACAUGCCUGGAAUCAUAUUAUUUAUAUCAUCCACGACUUGGUGACAUAUCUUGGAACAGGAUCAAGUGGCAUAUUGAUUUAUUUUUAAUUUUGUACUUUAGUGGGAGGACUAUGGUACUUGUAAAUCAUAUGGUGGUUAUUUUGAUUUAUACACCUUUACUGAAGGUGGAAGGAGAUAAAAAGCUUCAUAUCAUUAUUUAUUUUGAUAUUCUUAUGGUAUUUCUUUGGACACUCCCACUAGAGGUCAUUUUAUUAUCUCAUUCAUUGAUGGUUGCACUAGAUAUGGUUAUGUUUAUACUAUGGGAGCCGCUACGCGUCCACAGGUAGAUGUCUAGUAAACAUCCACCACCUCGACCGCCGUCAGAUCUCUGCGCGUGAGCCGUCAGAUCUAACUCCUCACAUUCGUGUGUCGCCUUCCCGACACAUUAAUUCCUGAAACAACAACCCAGUUGCAGAAACAACGGUCGCGUUGCAGAAACAAUUCCUGAAACAGCGGCCGCGUUGCAAAAACAAUUCCUGAAACAACGACUGUGUUGCAGAAACAACCACCAUGUUGCAAAAAUUUGGAGAUUGCAGAAACAAUUCCUGAAACAACGGCUACGUUGCAAAAACAAUUCCUAAAACAACGGCUGCGUUGCACAAACAACUACCAUGUUGCAUGCGUCAAGCACAUCAGCGCCGACCGCAACAAAGCAGUAGCGCCGCCACUCCAGCUAUUGCAGAAGCACGACGAUGAGUCGUUCCUCGCCUGAAAAGCAACUUGAAGUGAGGGAGCUGGCGGAGAAAAAGAGCAGGAAGGGUAAGACGGAGGAAUCCUACCUCGCCGGCGAACACCGACUGCCGGCGCACAGGGCGGUGGCUGGCUGGCUCGUGUGAGCAGUGGAGUUGUAGAAGCUUGAGGUGGUGGCCGCCAUGGCAUGCUGCAAGAGUUGGGAAAAAAGAGCCGACUGGGAAGGAGAUAAGGAAAGAAGGAUGUAGCGGUGCAAUGGGUCCACAUGGACACGCGUCACGUGCUGGAGGCGGUGGACGCCCAGCAUUGGAUCCGCCGGAUGAUGGUAAGAGUUUGCCUUAUACUAUUUGAAAAUACAAGUCAGAAUGUUUUAUUUUGCUUGUCAUAUUAUGUAUUGAAGUGGGAAAUCAGUUGAUUAAAAGAUCCUAAAGUUUUGACAAUUGAUUGGUGGGGGAAAUAUAGUUCAGGAAUAUAUCAAUUGACAUGUAAAGAGCAAGGAAUUAUUCACCAUCGUAACAUACCGUACACUCCACUACUGAAUGGAAGAAUUGAAUGUCGUUUAUACUCCCUUAUUAGCUUUGUUAAUGAAGCAUUGCAUAAUGUCGUUUGUUGAUAUCAUUCUUCAUCUAGCAUAGUCACUAUAUGUCUUGACUGGAAGGAAUCUUCUAUUUUAGCAUGAAAUUCUCAGUUACUACGAAGCACACACCAGUAAAUUUUUAGUGGUUAUUCUAGUGGAUCAAACUGGUGGAAAAGUAGGAACACAAUAAUUAUUAAGAUAAAGGGUGGACUUAUUGACAAUCAUACUGGACUAUAAUCUUGACCCCAAAGGAAACUACAAGAGUAACACCCGACACUAACAUGCUUAGGAUAAGUGGGAUGAAUUAACUUGGAGUGUCAUCUCUGGAAAUUUUUUAUGUGUUCUUUAGGGGGAAGUCACUCUAAAUUUUAGAGGAAGUUUUUUAAGAAGGCUUAAAUUUAUCAUCAUUGUCAACUAUGGGUGGAACAAAUGCGGGAAGGAACAAAUUCAAUGAGAAAAUAUAUAGUUCAGGGACUUAUUAUCAUACCAAACUACCGCAAGCCCAUUGUUUGUAAGUGUUUUUAAUUUAUUUAAGGAAAUUUGGCUCAUUGGAAUAUUAUAAUGCUCCUCUUGCUAUUAAAUUCUUUGGGCAAAGAUAAAUAUACUUUGUGGAAACUCUCUCUCCUUGAAUUUAGGGAAAGAGGAACUAAUGACAUGGUUUGCUAAUUGAAUACAUUAAUGUAUGGUCUUAUAAGAAGCUUCACAUCAAUGGAAUAGCAGGUCAUAUGGUUUUCUAAAUGAAGCAAGGUGGUCAUCUACAAAUGUAAGUGUAAAAUAUUUUGCAUUAUUAUUGUAUAUGUUAACAUUGUUUUGUUGUUUGCAAUGGUAAAGUCACAUUGAUGGAAGUGAAAGCUUGGUCAUGUUUUAACUUUCAUAUGAAAAGAACGUUUGAAGCUUCCUCUGUUUUAGGAGUGUAACUACAUAGAGUAUGUUUUGAAACGUUUCCUAUGGAAAAUUGCAAAUUGUUAAAGUACCUGGAACCAAACUUAGUGAGGAAUUAUGUUUGAACUCCUGUGGAGAAAGGGAUAAUAAUGGAGUUGAAAUUUACUGUAUCUUCAUUAUGCAAUCAUACCUUAGCUUUCAAAAUUUAUGUUGCAAAUUCAAGUAGUGGGAGGAAAGGUGAGCAACUAAGAGAAUCUCCUACAUCAUAGUAUGACAUUGUGGAAAGUGCAUCACAACCUGUCAAUUAUUCUGGAAUUUAUAUUAAAGGUAAACACAUUGACGAAGCUAUUGUUUUGUCUACAAGAUAAGAAACAAGUCCAGUUACGCAUAUUCAUUUUUUUUGUAGUACUAAUAAGCUGCAGGUUCACUGACACAAGUCAGGAAUUUAUUUCAAAACAUGGUAACUUGUGGAACUUCAUUUACUGAAUGGAUUAGAUAUUUGUGUGGUUUUGAUAACUUCAUUCAACAUGGUUAUUAUCUAUUUGACUCAAUGUGGAAUUAAUCAUAUUAUUGAUAUAUGUGAUGGAAAAUAAUUGAUGCAUAAUUUUACUCGAGGAAGCAAAAUACUCAAGGUGCCUAUAUUUUGUGGGUUUUCAAUGUAGUGUUAAUAUGAUUACUGAUCCCUUGACUAAGCCUCUUAGUCAGGAGGUAUUUGGCAAGCAUGUUAAGGCUAUGGGUUUACGAAUAUUUGAAUGAUUAUUUGGGACAAGUGCGAGAUGUUGGAAUUAUGUGCCAUGCAACUGUAUUCAAAUUAUUAGGAAUUACUAAUAUUCGGAAUACCUUGUUAUGGAAUUAUACAUGUAUUUAUGCAUGAAAUUACUUUACAUGGUUAUUAUGGAAUUAUCACUUGUUGGAAUGUAUUUAAGUUGUAUGCUUAAGAAAACUAGUCAAUUAUCAGUGGAGUGCAAUAUACUAUUUAUAUUGAAAAGACUACCAGGGUAUAGUGAUAAUUGGAAGGAGCUGAUCAUAUAGUUAGAUUACAGCUUAAUAUUGAUCUGCAUAAUUAGAGGAAUUUACACUAUUAUGGCGCGUUGCUCACAAGCGUCUACUCCGGAGACACAAUAGGUAGAAUCCGUUAACAGACAAAUUUGAUCGUGAUUGGUAAUUUGAUCUUGAGUCAAUCCCAGAAAAUAGUUGAAAAGAUUAGAAAUCUUAUUUGUAUAAGAGGUGAACUCUUUGGAAAGACAACAUAAGAAAGUCCCUAACCCUAUCCUCUGAUUUGCGAAUUAUGAGCGAUACCAAGAUAAGCGCUGAGGGAUAUGGGUAGACCACAAAGCUAUUCCCAACACAGACAUGACAUGAAUCAUCCAAAGUUUAUUUUGUGAGCACUGGAGAAAUGUCUGGCCGCCGCCACCAUCCCGCCGGCUGGAUCAUAUUCAUACGUGGUGGUCCGGCCGCCGGUGCUCGCCGCCUUGAUCUUAGGUGGGCGAAAGCAAGCAAACCAAGACGCCACCACCGACCAGAAACCGGAGCCGGAUUUCUUACCGUCUCCCAUGGAACCGAAACCUCUCUAAAACCUCCACGUUUGUUCGUCUCUUUAGACUAGCUGUUCUCUUGUGCCGAUGAGGAGUUGCUGCUGCUGGGCUAGCCUCUUAUAGCAUUGCUUGCUUGGCGACCACGGCGAAUGGUCUCUACACCUGGACAAAACGCUGCUUGGCCGGUCAGCAUGACACUCGACUUGCUGUCCAAGAUGGUACUCCUCGCCUCCGUUCCAAGAAAGAAAUAAAGGCGAUACUCCUAGCUUUGAAUUUUCCUCGCUGGCUGCAUGCACAAGGGGCCAGGAUAGCUGCCAAUCAAUGCAUGCAAAACGUCAGUGUAGCUGCAGGAUAAAAAAAACGGUUGGAUUGAUCGAUCACUUUCACAGCUUACUCGGAGAAAGUUGAUCAAUCAGUCGGUCAAUAGGCCACGUUGCCUAACUCACGAGAAAACAGCGCCGAUCGAGUGCGUGACGCGCGCGGCAGCGUCGUCGCGGGUUUUGCCGCCGGCAGCGCGCCGUCUGGCUCCCUCCUUCGUCAGAAGAGAAGACCAUCUCAUGCUCCUCCUGUUACCUCUGCCUCUUCUUUUUACCCAUUGCGAAAUUACCAUAGAGAAGUUUGGAGCAAGUAUUCGAGCUACCGGUUAAAACCAGUUGCAGAAAUACUCUUCGUUUCUAGCUUCUAUCUGGAUGUUCACGAUCAAAGGAAUUUCCAGGCGGAUUCUAUGGACAUUAUUAGAGGCUAAUGUGUGUCUCGCCGCGCUGUUCUUCACCCAUGGGUUUAACCUUUCUAUCAGGUUAUUGUGGUCGGAUUUUUCUUUUUAAUUUUAUCUUCAUUGAGUUGGGGUUUAUGGCGGUUUUUUUUAUUUCAAUAGGCCUUGUUCGGUUGCCGUGGUUAGAUUCCACGAGUGGUUUCUAACCUCCUAGGGAUCGGGUGAUCCCCUACUUGUCACCCAACCCCCGUUGUUCCUCAUCCACAUGAAUCCCUAUGACCAUAACCUGUUCGGUUACUCCCUUUCUAUAUUCUCCGUAAGCAUAUCAGGUCAGAUCGGGAGGAGGAGAUGGGAAAGAAGAGGGGGAGAGGAGAAGAAGGAGAAGAGGCUUACCGGGUGGGAGAGAAGGGAGGGGUGGGGAAGUAUGCUGCCAUCGUCGCCUUCGGAUGGCUGCGUCGCCGCCGCCGCCGCCGCCACCGAAUCGCGGGAGAGAGAGAGAGGUCGGGGACUCGCGGAGAGAGGGCUCGAACCUUUUCUUCUCGCGUACCGUUUCGUCCAUCGCGAGAGGGAUUGGUUCCACGGGUAGAGGGGCGAGGAUUAUAUCCUGGGUAGUUCCACCUGGUUUGGCAGGGAUUGGGCGGGGGUGUAGCCCCGACCGGGUUUAACCGAACACACUUAUAAAGCAGGCCGGGGUGGAAUCCCGGUCGGGUCGAAACCACGGGGUUCGGCAGGGAUUGGGCGUUGUAGAUGGACAAGAUGUGGGCUGUGCAAUCGCGAUGUAUUGAUCGGUGCAUCAGGCACGUAUAUAUAAGUACAGAGGUGGGCCACAACCUCAACUAUACAGAGGAAACAGGAGGUGGGCCCUACACACAAAUAUACACGUACACAAUAUACUCGACACCCCCCGCAGUCGAAGCGGCGCCAGUGACGCAAAGACUGGAACGAAACUCCUCAAAGAUGGAAGUCGGCAGUCCCUUCGUCAUCACAUCGGCGAACUGUUGUGCAGUCGGCACAUGGAGAACCCGAAUGCGUCCUAGAGCCACCUGCUCACGCACAAAGUGAAUGUCCAGCUCAAUGUGUUUAGUCCGGCGAUGAUGAACGGGGUUGGCGGAGAGGUACACCGCAGAGACGUUGUCGCAGUAGACAACUGUAGCCUGGGAGACGUCGUGAUGCAGCUCCUGAAGUAACUGUCGUAGCCAGGUGCACUCAGCAACAGCGUUGGCCACAACUCGGUACUCAGCCUCCGCGCUGGAGCGCGAAACCGUGGGUUGUCGCUUGGACGACCACGAGACGAGUGAAGGACCGAGGUAGACGCAGUAGCCAGAGGUGGAUCGAGAGUGUCUGGACAGCCAGCCCAGUCCGCGUAGGAGUAGACCAUCAUCUCCAGAGAAGCGGACGCCGUGAGGGUGAGCCCGAGGGUCAUCAUGCCGCGGAUGUAACGGAGGAUCCGCUUCACGAGAGUCCAAUGGGAGUCACGAGGGGCGUGCAUGUGGAGACACACCUGCUGAACAGCAUACUGAAGAUCCAGUCUGGUGAGAGUCAAAUAUUGAAGAGGACCGACGAUAGACCGGUAGAAAGGAGCAUCCGAUGCUGGCAAACCCUCAAGAGCAGAAAUCUUGGCCUUCGUGUCAACAGGAGUAGCAACAGGGUGACAGUUGAGCAUGCCAGCACGCUCAAGAAGCUCGUGCACAUACUUCUGCUGAUGAAGAAGGAAACCGUCCGGGCGCUGAACGACCUCAAUGCCAAGGAAAUAAUGUAGAGCACCCAAGUCCUUGAUGGCAAACUCGUCACGCAGCCGAAGAGUAAUCUACUGAAGAAGAGCCGCGGAGGAGGCCGUUAGGAUGAUGUCGUCGACGUAAAGGAGCAAAUAUGAAGUCGUGUCACCGAGGCAAUAGACAAACAGUGAGGCGUCCGAGCGAGUGACGCUGAAACCCAGUGUCUGAAGAAACCUGGCGAUCCGCUGGUACCAGGCGCGGGGUGCUUGCUUGAGCCCGUAGAGAGAUCGGGACAGCAGACACACAUGGCCAGGAAGUGAGGCAUCGACGAAACCGGUGGGCUGCUCACAAUACACCUGCUCCUCAAGAUGGCCGUGGACAGAACAAAAGAAUUGAAGAUGAGCUCACAUGGAGGCAUUACAUGAGCUCAACUUUGGUGGAGGGCUAUUAUAUGAUGAUAUGAAAGUCCAUGCAAAAUUGCAACUCAUUUGGAUAUGCUUAGCUUGUACCUCAUUCACAAAUUUCUUUUUGGACAAAAACUUUGGAAAAUCAUAAAUAAAUAAUCACUAGGAAAAUGAGGUUGCAUUUUGGCAUGUGGCAAUUAUAUGGACAAGAAAAGGUGUCCAAGGAGUUUGAGGUCAAUUGGGAAAAGGAAAAUAACACUUGCUUCACAAAGUGCCAUUUAGGGUAGAUUAGGAAAUGAAUUAUUGGAGGAUUAUUUUUGAACAUGACAAUGAAAAGUUUUGCCACAUUUGAUGAAGAUAUACCCAAAAAGCUUAUGAUAAUUAUUUGGGAAUUUUAGGAGUGAUUGAAAUAUAGGUUGCUUCACAACCUAGGGCAAUUUGGGUUAUUCCUUUAAUAGAAAAAGGAAUAUUCCCAAUAAAAAGAGUAUUGUGAUUUUGUCCAAGGUGGAAAUGGAAAGGUCUAGGGAGGGAUUUUGAUACGACAAGCCACUCUGGAAAGAAAGAAGAGGUCGUCUUCUUCAGUUUCCAGACCACAAAGCCACUCGAAAAGAAAACUCAGGCAAAAUCCUCAGAAAAUCAAAAGAAAAAGAAAGGGUCAAAAAUCAGGUUGUUACACUUUUCCUACCUCCAAUGGCUAUACGCAUAUUUUGGUUGUUGUUGAUUAUGUUACUAAGUGGGUACAAACUAUUCCAACUAGUAGUGUUGAUCACAACACCUCUAUUAAAAUGCUGAAGGAAGUUAUUUUCCCAAGGUUUGGAGUCCCUAGAUAUUUAUUGACUAAUGGUGAUUCACACUUAUUCAUGGUGCUUUCCGUAAAAUGCUUGCUAAGUAUGAUGUUAACCAUAGAAUAGCGUCACCUUAUCAUCCUCAGUCUAGUGGUCAAGUUAAACUUAGUAAUAGGGAAAUAAAAUUAAUUUUACAAAAAACUCUCAAUAGGUCCCGAAAGAAUUGGUCUAAGAAAUUAGAUGAUGCACUUUGGGCUUAUAGAACAGCAUAUAAAAAUCCUAUGGGUAUGUCUCCUUAUAAAAUGGUUUAUGGAAAAGCUUAUCAUUUGCCUCUUUAGUUAGAACAUAAAGCAUAAUGGGCAAUUAAAGAACUCAAUUAUGAUUUCAAACUUGCCGGUGAAAAGAGGUUAUUCGAUAUUAGCUCACUAGAUGAAUGGAGAACCCAAGCUUAUGAAAAUGCCAAGUUAUUCAAAGAAAAGGUUAAAAGAUGGCAUGAUAAAAGAAUCCAAAAGCGUGAGUUCAAGGUUGGAUAAUAUGUUCAUUUGUACAACUCUCGUUUCAGAUUCUUUGCACGAAAACUCCUCUUCAAAUGGGAAGGGCCCUAUGUUAUCGAGGAGGUUUAUUGAUCUGGAGCAAUAAAAAUAAAUAAUGCCGAAGGUACCAACCCGAAGGUUGUCAAUGGGUAAAGAAUAAAACAUUAUAUCUCAAGUAUGCCCAUUAAUGUUGCACGAAAUAUUAUCCAAGAUAUGACACCGGAAGAACACAUAAAGAAAACCUUCCGGAUCACUCCAGAAUCGUGAAAAAGGAGGAGGUACAUGAUACGGUAAGUAAAUGGACUCCAAAAAAUCCGCAAAAUAUUUUUUGUCAGUUUGGAAUAUUUUAAAAAUUAGGAAAAUAAGAAACAAUCAGAAGGCACCCGUGGUGGGCACAAGACACCAGGGCGCGCCUCGGGUACCUUCUAGACUCCGUUUUUCUUCCGUUUGCUUGUUCCCCAAGAUAAAAAAUAUAUUUAUAUACCCCCCAAAUCUAUUAACCACCGUAUCACGGAGAAAUCCCAUGUUCUCUUUUCCUUGCUGUUUUCUAGCAGAUCUGAAAAUAUGUCGUCCCAAGACUCGGAGGGUGAGAGCUAUGUUGCUGAUUAUAUUGCAAACCCUAAGGCUUAUGGGGAUGUGGAGCACUAUAGCUGGACUUCAGAGGAAGAAGAAGAUUAUGAUCCUAAAGGGGAGGAGGAGACGAGCUCAGACGAGGAUGAAGAUCCGUUGCCCCAACCUGGGGACAUGCACGUGGAACUCAAGAAGUCAAGUCUCCCCAACAAAACAAAGAAACCUAAGAUCCGGUUUAUCCCCUUUCGUCUUUUGCAGGAAAACAAGCAAGAUUUAUGAAAAAAGGUAUUGGAGCUUGAGCAGGAGAUCGGUGAAUUGAAGGAAGAAAAUUCCAUCCUCAAGCGUAAGCUAAGAAAGAAGGACAACGCCCCUACUUCAUCACCGCAGCCUCCUUCUUCAUCACCAAAGGAAAAAUGAGUAUCGGGUAUGGGCACUCCCCUUGGCUUGUGCCAAGAUUGGGGGAGGUGCCCCGGUAUCAUAUCACCUCCACUAUCUUUUGCCUUUACUUAUCUUAGUUAGAUCCUUUCUUUUCGAGUGUUUGCUUAGUGAUCUAUCCUCGUAAUCAUGUGCGAGAUAUAUAAUAAAGUUUAGUUUGAAGUUUUGUUUUCUUUAUUUUCAUGUUCAAUAAAAAUAAAGGAAAUAAAUGAAAAGAUCAUAUGCUAAUAUUAUGGUAAGUAAUGACAUCACAUAAGGAAGAGUAGAAGUAGAAAAUUUUAUUGGAGAUUUACAAACAUAGCAUUGGUCAAUGAUUCAAUUCAUGAAAGAAUUAAUAAGGGAAGAGAAGAUUCACAUGCAAAUACACUAUCCUAGACAUCUUUUGUGAUUGUGAGCCCCUAUCAAAAUAUUAUAUGCCAAAAUUGCUGAAGCUAGACAAGGAAGACAACGUAAUGAUUUAUGUUUGUUCAUAUUCACAUAGAAGUUAUAUUGUCGUAGAUCCUUUAACAUGUGGUGCUUGCCCCCCUACAUUUGCUAGCCAAAAAUUCCGCACUAAGUAGAGAUACUACUUGUGCACCGAAAACCCUUAAACCAAAUCUUGUUUUGAGAGUCCACCAUACCUACCUAUGGAUUGAGUAAGAUCCUUCAAGUAAGUUGUCAUCGGUGCAAUAAAGGCAAUAAAAAUUUCUUCUAAAAGUGAUGGGUCAUUUAGUGUAAGAGAAAAUUGAGUGUUGUACGAACUUGUGAUGGCAAAGACUAAAAGCGAUAGACUGUAUAAUAAAGGUUGGUAUCAUAAGGGGCAAUAUAACAUGACAUUAUUUUGCACUAAGAGAUUGAGCAUACAAACAAAAGCGCAUGACAACCUCUGCUUCCCUCUACGAAGGGCCAAUCUUUUAAUUUAUGUAUUUACUUUUAUGCAAGAUUCAAAGUUUAUCUCUCUAUUCCUUUUUAUUUUCUCUUUUGGCAAGCAUCAUGUGGUGAGGAAAGAUCUAGACAUAUAUAUCCUGUUGGAUAUGGGUAGCAUGAGUUAUUAUUGUUGACAUCACCCUUGAGGUGAGUAUGUUGGGAGGCAAAAUCUAUAAACCCCUAUCUUUCUAUGUGUCCGGUUGAAAUUUUUUCUCAUGCGGUGAGUGUUAGCAAUCAUAGAAGACUAUAUGAUGGUUGAGUAUGUGGACUUCCCAAAAAGGCUCUGAUACAUGACCCUUCCUGAAAAGAUGAUGAAUUGUAGUUGCAAAGUUGACUGAGAACAUAGUUUGUUGGUUUCCAAUAGAGCUUAUGCUUUACACUUCGAUGUUGUGAUGAAUUGUUACUUAUUCAUGAGAAGUUUAUGAUAAAAAAAUUAUGUGAUAAAAGUUUUAUGAUAAAGUUUGUUGCUGUUAUAAUAAUAUACAUGAUGCUUCUAUGUCCGUAUUUUGUUUUUAUCGACACCUCUCUCUCUCUCUAAGCAUGUGGACAUGUUUUCGGUUUUGGUUUUCGCUUGAGGACAAGCGAGGUCUAACCGGGGAGUUGAUACGUCCAUUUUGCAUCAUGUUUACCUACUAUUAUUUAUAAUGUUUUUAUGCAUAAUAAUGCUUUUUGGACUAAUGCUAAUGCCUUUUCUCUCAUAAUAUGCAAGGUUCACACAAAGAGGGAGAAUACAGACAUCUGGAAAUCUGGACCUGAAAAAGCUACAUAAGGCUACCUAUUUUGCACAACUCCAAAUGAGCUGAAACUUUACGGAGAUUUUUAUGGAAUAUAUAAGAAAUAAUGGAGCAAAUAAGUACCAGAGGGGGCCCACCAGGUGGCACAACCCACCUGGGCGCGCCAGGAAGCCCAGGCUCGCCCUGGUGGGUUGUUCCCUCCUCGGCCCACCUCUGGUGUUCCUCUUCUAGUAUAUAAGUCAUUUUGACCUAGAAAAAAAUAAGGGGAGGACUUUAGUAUGAAGCGUCGCCGUCUCGAGGCGGAACUUGGGCAGGAGCACUUUUGCCCUCCGGUGGAGCGAGUCCGUCGGGGGAACUUUCCUCCCGAAGGGGGGAAAUCAUCGUCAUCAUCAUCACCAACAACUCUCCCAUCUUGGGGAGGGAAAUCUCCAUCAACAUCUUCAACAACACCAUCUCCUCUCAAACCCUAGUUCAUCUCUUGUGUUCAAUCUUUGUACCGGAACUAUAGAUUGGUACUAGUAGUGUUGAUUACAUCUUAUAGUUGAUUACUAUAUGGUUUAUUUGGUGGAAGAUUAUAUGUUCAGAUCCAUUAUGCUAUUUAAUAACCCUCUGAUCUUGAGCAUGAUUAUCAUUUGUGAGUAGUUACUUUUGUUCUUGAGGUCACGGGAGAAAUCUUGUUGCAAGUAAUCAUGUGAACUUGAUAUGUGUUCGAUAUUUUGAUGGUAUGUAUGUUGUGAUUCCCUUAGUGGUGUCAUGUGAACAUCGACUACAUGAAACUUCACCAUAUUUUGGCCGAAGGGAAUGCAUUAUGGAGUAGUUAUUAGAUGAUGGGUUGUGAGAGUGAUAGAAGCUUAAACCCUAGUUUAUGCGCUAUUCCGUAAGGGGCUAAUUUGGAUCCAAAAGUUUAAUGCUAUGGUUAUUAUUAUUAAUACUUUUCUUGUAGUUGCGGAUGCUUGCGAGGGGGUUAAUCAUAAGUAAGAGGUUUGUUCAAGUAAGAACAACACCUAAGCACCGGUCCACCAACAUAUCAAAUCAUCAAAGUAGCGAACACAAAUCAAACCAACAUGAUGAAAGUGACUAGAUGAAAUUCCCGUGUACCCUCAAGAAUGCCUUGCUUAUUAUAAGAGACCAUUUUGGCCUGUCCUUUGCCUUAAAAGGAUUGGGCUACCUUGCUGAACUUUUUUUACCAUUACCGUUACUUGCUCGUUACAAAUUAUCUUGCUAUCAAACUACUCGUUACUUAUAAUUUCAGUACUUGCAGAGAAUACCUUGUUGAAAACCGCUUGUCAUUUCCUUCUGCUGCUCGUUGGGUUCUACACUCUUACUUGUCGAAAGGACUACAAUUGAUCCCCUAUACUUGUGGGUCAUCAUGUAGCAAGGUAGCCCAAUCCUUUUUUGUAGCAUAGGACAGGCCGGAACAAUCUCUUAUAAUAGGUAAAAUGUUCUCGAGGACACAUGGGAAUUUCAUCUAGUCACAUUCAUCAUGUUGGUUUGAUUCGCGUUCGCUACUUUCAUAACUUGAUAUGUGGGUGGACUGGUGCUUGGGUGUUGUUCUUACUUUAACAAGCCUCCCACUUAUGAUUAACCCCUCUCGCAAGCAUCUGCAACUAUGAAAGAAGAAUUAAGAUAAAAUCUAACCAUAGCAUUAAACAUAUGGAUCCAAAUCAGCACCUUAUGGAAUAGCGCAUAAACUAGGGUUCAAGUUUCUGUCACUCUAGCAACCCAUCAUAUAAUAAUUACUCCACAAUGCAUUCCCUUAGGCCCAAAUAUGGUGAAGUGUCAUGUAGUCGACGUUCACAUAACACUACUAAGGGAAUCACAACAUACAUAUCAUCAAAAUAUCGAACGAAUGCCAAAUUCACAUGAUUACUUAUGACAAGACUUCUCCCAUGUCCUCAGGGAUAUUAAAUAGUAUAAUAGAUCUGAACAUAUGAUCUUCCACCAAAUAAACCAACUAGCAUCAACGACGAGAUGUAAUCAACACUACUAGCAACCCACAGGUAUUAAUAUGAGGUUUUGAUACAAAGAUUGAAUACAAGAGAUGAACUAGGGUUUGAGAUAAGAUGGUGCUGGUAAAGAUAUUAAUGAAGAUUGGUCCUCCCACGAUGAGAGGGUUGUUGGUGAUGACGAUGGCUUCAAUUUUCCUCUCUCGGAGGAAAGUUUCCCCGGCGAAAUCGCUCCGCCAGCGAGCAAAAGUGCUCUUGCCCCAGUUCCGCCUCAAGGCGGAGGCGCUCCGUCCCGAAAGUCCUCUCCUUAUUUUUUCUAGGGUAAAUGGCCUCAUAUACCAAAAGAUAUGGCAUCGGAGGUUGGCGAGGGAGCCCACCACCCACCAGGGUGCGCCUGGUGGGGUAGGCGCGCCCUAGUGCCUUGUGGGCACCUGGUGGCCCCCUCUAGUACUUCUUUGCUCUAGUAUUUUUUAUUUAUUCCAAAAUAAAUCUCUGUAAAAUUUCAGCUCAUUUGAAGAUGUGCAAAAUAGGUAUCUUUAACAUAGCUUUUCCAGGUCCAGAAUUCUAGUUGUCGGCAAUCUCCCUCUUUGUGUAAACAUUGCAUAUUAUGAGAGAAAAGGCAUUAGAAUUGCUCCACCAAGUGUUAUAUUGCUUGAAAACACUAUAAAUAACACUAGGAAAACAUGAUGCCAAAUGGACGUAUUAGUGGUGUCGACCCUGGCUCGGUGACUGAUGUCGGGCUUUACCUGCCAUGGUUUUGACAUCAUGAAGUGUGUGGUUGGCACUAUCUCGGGGUUUGGAGACUAGGCGGUGGCCCUAGAAGGUGGUUUGCAUGAUGAGUUCUCCCCCGGGCUCCAUGGCGAUGGUGGUGGCUAUGUCUCUUCGCUGUGUGGGUGGCGAGAGAGUUAGCCGUGGGUGAUUCGGGCGCACCCAAGUUUUCAAGGCUCCCCAAUCUGGAUCUAGGGAUCUGUGCUCAUCAAGCUUGCCCGGGUGGCCUACCGGCAUUGAGGAGCAGCCGAGUGAAAAGUCCACCUUUGUCGGCAAUGAUGGCAACACUCGCGAGCGCCGCUUUCUUCUUGAAGAUGUCGUUGUGGUGCUCCUCUCCAUGUACGGGCUCCGGGUGAAAACCUAUGCCUGUUCUGGACUCGGCAGCAGCUACUCUUUUUGUCGUUUUCCCUCCUGAGGGCAUUAUCAUGGAACGUAGGUGUACUAGGGCGUAGUGUGGCAUUGUCAUCAUUUAUUCCUUUGUGUUUUUUUGGUUCUGUAGUCGCGAGCGUUAUGCGUGAUCCGGUUAUCCUAGAAUCGGCUUUGUAAGAGGGAUGCCCCUCCAUUUUGUAUCAUCUAGUCGUGUACCGUGUUUGCCUGUUGCUUUAUAUAUAAAGCGGGACAAAAGCGUGUUUCGGGGUACGGGAGCACUCUAGCUCAUACAUGAUCGAUGCCUUAAAAGUGUUGCUCUUUGUCUUCAGAAGGUUUUUUUUGCGAUUAUGUCUUAAGAAGGUGGGAGAGCCACAAGCACACAUAGGGCCGGGGUGUUAGAGAAUGGUUAGUAAUACAGUCAACUGUUGGCUAUAUGAAGUUGGCAUGUCAUACAUAGUCACCACAUGUAGUCAGUUAUACAACAAAGUUAGAUAUAAUGUUGGUUAUAAAAGUAGUACUCCCCUCAUCCAUAUAUAUAGGGCCUAAUGCGUUCUACGAGAUUGUCUAUGACUAUUGAUAAUACUAAUAGUAUAUGUGAUUUAUAAUGUGAAAAUUAUAUCAUUAGAAGGUCGUUUCACAUACAAAUUUGACGGUAUGCUUUGUGCAACUUCCAUGUCAUAUAUUAUUGCUCUAACAUGUGGUCGAAGUUAGCCUUGAAAAACACAUUAGGCCCAUAUAGAUGGAUAGAGGGAGUACUUUUUUUCACCUUCUCUCCAUCUCUUUUUUAUAUUUAUAGUGCAUCUAUUUAGGAAUGCGUGUAAAGUUUGGCUCUUGCAUGAGAGUCCAUUCUCUUUAAAAAAAUUAUGUCUCUUUCCUCCAUAUAAGCAAAAUUGUCAAUUAAGCGGGCUUUGCUCUUACAUGGGCUUGGGCCCUUGGUCAGGGGAUGCGGCCUGGUCACGAAUCAUGUAUAAAAGAAGACAUUGUUUAUCAAAACUAAUGUAUUUAUUUCAUAGAGAAGCCGUGGCUAUAUAAAAAAGAUAUUGUAUUAAUUUUUUGCAUCUAAUGCAUUAAGUUGGCAAUAGGUGCUAUUGACACAGAAGAUGUUGUUCCGACAAUCCAGGAUAUAAUUGACAAUCAAAAUAUUGAUAGAAAAUAUUAUUUAUUUACCAUUAAUUUUAUGCCAUAAAAAGAUCCCCAGUAUGCAUCUAUAUAACUCGGUGAAAGAAACAAUGCAAUGCACAAAAAAAGAUAAGAAGAUCAACUGGGCAUAAAACAAAGCAUUAGCGGGGCUCUCGAAAUGGCAAUCUCAAAGAAGAACACAAGCGCCCUGAUUUUGAUGGCCCUCAUAGUCAUGGCCACUGUCCUCUCCUCGUGCAACGCAAACAAUGAGGUUAUGUUACAUCCAUCCCUUUUCUCACCCCAUGAAGACAACUUCAUGCGCAUUCUAUAAUAGUGAACUCCCCAUAAAAUUUAUAUAUAUCUAGUAUUGGGGAAACAUAAGAUGGUGAAUAACCUUCCACAAAAUUGGCCUCACAAUGUGUGUUUUUGUGUUUGCGGAUACAGAUAGAUGCUCUCCCCCUACCCGAUAAAUGCUACAGCACGGAACUCCCUAACUGCACAAAGGAGGCGUGCAAGAAACUUUGCAACAGCCCAGGGGGGUAUUGCAGGCUCGCAUCCGACUGUUGUUGCCCUGUUUCCUAAAUGGGGCUGAAAUGAUACAAAGAUGCCAUGAAUAAUUCAAUGCAUGUAUGGAUUAUAUAUGUUAGUUCUAGCAUAUCGAUAUAAAUCCUUUUUAUCAUCUUCAGAAUUUACAAA
rnacentral:lncRNA from 1 species